UCCGUUAUGGUGUAGUGGCUAACAUUAUCGCCUCUCAUCGCCACGAACCGCGAGUAAGACGCGAUAGCCCAGGGUUCGAUUCCCUGUAACGGAA